rnacentral:misc_RNA from 1 species
GAUGAAGAACGUAUCAAAAUGCGAUAAGUAAUGUGAAUUGCAGAAUUCAGUGAAUCAUCGAAUCUUUGAACGCACAUUGCGCCCGCCAGUAUUCUGGCGGGCAUGUCUGUUCGAGCGUCAUUUCAACCCUCAAGCACAGCUUGGUGUUGGGACUCGCGUUAAUUCGCGUUCCCCAAAUUGAUUGGCGGUCACGUCGAGCUUCCAUAGCGUAGUAGUAAAACCCUCGUUACUGGUAAUCGUCGCGGCCACGCCGUUAAACCCCAACUUCUGAAUGUUGACCUCGGAUCAGGUAGGAAUACCCGCUGAACUUAAGCAUAUCAAUAAGCGGAGGA